AGUCCCCAUCUAUCCUGGGACUCGCAACGUUCGUUUGGGGCUCGAGGAAGGGAGAGACCGCGUGAAAGUCUGCGACGGGCCGUUGGUGACCGUGGACGUCCGACCUCCGGCACGACCACACACCACGCCGGCCGCCGGCCGUCGGGACGCCACCUUAUGUGUCCAUGAGUUCAUGUUAGUCUGAAACUCUGAAUAUUGGAGCACGAUUCGCAUGCUUCUCUGAUUUCCAUGUCUCUCCAUCGCCGAUCAAGGAUCAACUGAACAAUCCUAUCAAUGUUCAUGUUUUUUCUUCAUUUUCAGCAAGCAAAGGAGGAUCAGAGGCGUACGUCAGGCGAGCGGCGAGCCUAAUAGUACCAGCAGGAGGAACGAGUUCAACCGACCCAAUCCGAUAUCUUGUGCAGGAGUCAGGACCUCACCAGCGACCAGGUAUUGAUCGUGUUUCUGGUUUUUUUUCUUCUAUUCCGUGUGACUUUCAUGCCUUUUAUUUCCACAAGCUCCAGCAGGAAUGGUCAACAAGGACAAUCAGCAUGCAUGGUAACAAUAUAUACUAUUUUUUUGAGUGGGAAGUGGAUCCUCCCAAAUUAGCUUGAAAUACGCGAAUCCAGGAGCCACAUAUGCCGACCUAUAGCAUCAUAUACAAAGAGCUCUCUCUCUCUCUCUCUCUCUCUCUCUCUCUCUCUCUCUCUCUCAGGCAAAGUGCUCUUUUUUUUUGCCUAUACAAAGAGCGUUGAGCAGAUGUAUACGUACGGUUCCAACCCAACGGAUCAGCAAACAAUACAAAGCAAUUGCUCAGCCCAAAACAACAAGCGGCCCACAAGGCCACGACAAACCACACAGCGCUUUUUUUUUCCUGCAUACGAAUUGCCCAACCCUCGGCGCAUGGCCAGCAAGACAAGUCCUCCCAUCCCGUGGCGUCCUCCACACGGUGUGCCAGCGUCGUCUUCAUUUCAUUCAACCCGUGUUCACACCGUGCCAUCCUGGUUCCUGGAUGCGACCGGCUACCGGGAAUCUUCCUCUCCUUUCUUCCCCUUCCCCUUUCUUUCUCUCCAAUCAUCUCCUUCUGCCUCACCUCCCGCGUUAGUAGCUCUUGAGCUCUUCCGUUCCAGCAUUGCUCCCGGCAUGUCGUCAGCUUUCGCUUCCCGGCGUUGAGCAGCUCUAUUUCCAGCGGGUUCACAUCGCACGGUACCUGCUGUGUGCUCUUGUUCUUCCUCUUCCGUGAACAUCAGCAGAUCUGUUAGCUAUUUUCAGCACGCUCCAAUCGUCCUGCAGUUGAGUGUUCUUGGCCUGCCUCUUCAGUGAGCGUCAGCAGGUCCAUCCCCGUGCUCUCAAAUUCGUCUUCUGUUUACAGGGACCACCCCGCUUCGCCGCGGAUCAGCUGCGUUUCAGCUUCGGUUUGCUCCUUUUCAAGUUGCUUUCGGUAUGAGGCAGAAGCAACCUGGAUUAAAAUUCCUCGAGAACUGUUAUUGAUGCCUAAAGAAAACAAGAUAGCAUCGAUUGUUGAUUCUGUUUAUAGAGAACUGCCUUCCAAAUACAAAGAUGUAAGCUGUCUAA